CUACGUGCCAGCAGCCGCGGUAAUACGUAGGUGGCAAGCGUUGUCCGGAAUUAUUGGGCGUAAAGCGCGCGCAGGCGGAUCAGUCAGUCUGUCUUAAAAGUUCGGGGCUUAACCCCGUGAUGGGAUGGAAACUGCUGAUCUAGAGUAUCGGAGAGGAAAGUGGAAUUCCUAGUGUAGCGGUGAAAUGCGUAGAUAUUAGGAAAAACACCAGUGGCGAAGGCGACUUUCUGGACGAAAACUGACGCUGAGGCGUGAAAGCCAGGGGAGCGAACGGGAUUAGAUACCCCGGUAGUCCUGGCCGUAAACGAUGGGUACUAGGUGUAGGAGGUAUCGACCCCUUCUGUGCCGGAGUUAACGCAAUAAGUACCCCGCCUGGGGAGUACGACCGCAAGGUUGAAACUCAAAGGAAUUGACGGGGGCCCGCACAAGCGGUGGAGUAUGUGGUUUAAUUCGACGCAACGCGAAGAACCUUACCAGGUCUUGACAU
rnacentral:rRNA from 1 species